rnacentral:rRNA from 1 species
GACGAACGCUGGCGGCGUGCUUAACACAUGCAAGUCGAACGGAAAGGCCCUGCUUUUGUGGGGUGCUCGAGUGGCGAACGGGUGAGUAACACGUGAGUAACCUGCCCUUGACUUUGGGAUAACUUCAGGAAACUGGGGCUAAUACCGGAUAGGAGCUCCUGCUGCAUGGGGGGGGUUGGAAAGUUUCGGCGGUUGGGGAUGGACUCGCGGCUUAUCAGCUUGUUGGUGGGGUAGUGGCUUACCAAGGCUUUGACGGGUAGCCGGCCUGAGAGGGUGACCGGCAACAUUGGGACUGAGAUACGGCCCAGACUCCUCCGGGAGGCAGCAGUGGGGAUUAUUGCAAAAUGGGCGGAAGCCUGAUGCAGCAACGCCGCGUGCGGGAUGACGGCCUUCGGGUUGUAAACCGCUUUCGCCUGUGACGAAGCGUGAGUGACGGUAAUGGGUAAAGAAGCACCGGCUAACUACGUG